CCCUUAGAUGUUCUGGGCCGCACGCGCGCUACACUGAUGCAUUCAACGAGUUUCUUCCUGGUCCGAGAGGAAUGGGUAGCCCUUUGAAAGUGCAUCGUGAUAGGGAUAGACUAUUGCAAUUAUUGGUCUUCAACGAGGAAUUCCUAGUAGACGUAGUUCAUCAGACUGCAUCGAUUACGUCCCUGCCCUUUGUACACACCGCCCGUCGCUCCUACCGAUUGAAUGCUCAGGUGAGCCAUUCGGACUUUCAUCAUGCUGGUUUCCAGUUUUGAUGAAGGAAAGUCUUGCGAACCUUAUCAUUUAGAGGAAGGAGAAGUCGUAACA
rnacentral:rRNA from 1 species